ACAAGCGAUAGUUUUAAGUCAGAAUUUUGGCCUUGGGUGUCAGUAGUGGGAGUGGGAAUCUCUCGUUUG
rnacentral:tRNA from 1 species